CAGUCGCCGCGGUAAUACAGAGGGUGCAAGCGUUAAUCGGAAUUACUGGGCGUAAAGCGCGCGUAGGUGGUUUGUUAUGUUGGAUGUGAAAUCCCCGGGCUCAACCUGGGAACUGCAUCCAAAACUGGCAAGCUAGAGUAUGGUAGAGGGUGGUGGAAUUUCCUGUGUAGCGGUGAAAUGCGUAGAUAUAGGAAGGAACACCAGUGGCGAAGGCGACCACCUGGACUGAUACUGACACUGAGGUGCGAAAGCGUGGGGAGCAAACAGGAUUAGAUACCCCCGUAGUCCCUGUCUCUUAUAC
rnacentral:rRNA from 1 species